rnacentral:misc_RNA from 1 species
GUCAAACUCUAUUGACAAGAUGCAUGUAACUAGCGGUAUUUUUGAUGUGAAGGAAUCGGUCUUUUUCACUUCAGGAAGUUAAGGGCUCUUUUGUUGGGUUUUAUUGCAUAUUAGAAAGAUCUACUUUGAUGAUCCUCUCAUGAGCUAUGGGAUUUUAAUUUUAAAAAAAUUUCUUUUACACGGGGGGAAUCAUUGAACUUAUUCUCUGAAUCAUUCUACAGUGA